GAUUUGAAGACGGUUUAUGCCACAGCUCUGGAAUUUGGCACAGGGCCAGAGAGGGUCAGGUGACACCUCCUCAGUGUCCCCUCUGCCGGGUCUUUAAAGGGACGGGGCCAAGUGCACUCCCCAGGGAGAUCCUCGACUCCAACCGUCACAGCGAAUCUACCCAGUGGUUUUCACCAUGCCUGAACCAGCCAAACCCGCAGCAAAAAAGAAAGAAGUAAAGAAAAAAGAAGACCCAAAGGCAGCCAAGAAAGAGGAACCGAAAGAGGAGAAGAAACAGGAG